rnacentral:rRNA from 1 species
AGAAUCAACGCUGGCGGCGUGCCUAACACAUGCAAGUCGAACGAGAAAGGGGAGCAAUCCCUGAGUAAAGUGGCGACCGGGUGAGUAACACGUGACUAACCUACCCUUGAGUGGGGGAUAACCUAGAGAAAUCUGGGCUAAUACCGCAUAAUACCUUCGGGUCAAAGGAGCAAUUCGCUUAAGGAGGGGGUCGCGGCCGAUUAGUUAGUUGGCGGGGUAAUGGCCCACCAAGACUAUGAUCGGUAUCC